GGGCGCGUAGCUCAGCUGGUUAGAGCGCACGGUUCACAUCCGUGAGGUCACAGGUUCGAAUCCUGUCGCGCCCA
rnacentral:tRNA from 1 species